ACCUGGAAUACUGGUUGGUUGUAAAAAACUAGGCAAAUCCUUUAAAAGUGAAUUAUAGGAAGUUAUUGUUUCAUAAAGUUCUUUGUGUUUGUAAACAUGUCUCGUUACUUCAUAUUCGUGAUCGUGUCCCUUCUUAUUGCCAUGGCGGUUUUCUCACCUGCCGCUGAAGCUCAAGGAAAGGCAGGCCGUUGCCCGCAGGUUCGUCCAGGAAGUGGAGGCGCAUGUGCCAGCUUAUGUACGAGUGACAACAGCUGUCCUGGACCCCAGAAAUGCUGCAGCAACGGCUGCGGCCGCUCUUGCAUCACACCAAGAUCCUGAGACAUGCUGGACUAACCCUAUCUCUUGGGGGCGAGCAAUGUACCAUAUAGCCGAACCUCGUCUCCUUCGACACCUUUUGAAAACACAUCCACUCAUCGAUAUACAUAUAUGUACAACCUACUAGAUUUGGCGUUCCGAACAUUCACUGACUGACUUUAGUAUGGUCAAUAUUGACAGCCUGUGGUUGUGUGGAGUGGCGCUCAUGAUAUAAGAACUCGAGUCUAAAUGUAAACCUGGAUUUGAAUAAAAAAUAUUAGUCAAGUUCAAGUGUUUAAUAGGUUAUAACAGUGAUGAUUCGGUUGCCAUUUUAGUUCAGAUUUUGAACUAUUAGUUUAUAUGAACGAUCGUGUCUAUAGAAUUUACGUCAAUGCAUCUACUAUUGUAAACAUAAACCUAGAGUAAAAUCAAAAUAAAAAUACCCUAUCGCGAAUGCAUUGUUUGCGUUACCGUUAUAUGCUAUGCGCAGGUUAUAUUGUAUUCAAUUUGUAUUUUUUAAGUGCCAACAUGACUAAUAAAUCUUUUUUAUUUAUUUUAAGGGUCAAUACUUUGGCAUUAUCGAAAUUAUGUUAAUAUAUUCUGUUGCAUACCUUUUGCCCAAAAACCCAUGUCAUGCGGCUCAAUAAGGCUCCAAAACUUAUGAUAAUUCCAGAGGCGGUAUCUGAUGUAUUAUCAUUCUAAAUUUGCGCUCACUUAACACGGUUAAUCAGUUAAUUUGUAUUUGUUUAAAUUGUAAUGUUUGUUAUCGUACUAAAUAAUAUUAUAUUUAACUGUG